rnacentral:rRNA from 1 species
GACAGAGGGUGCAAACGUUGUUCGGAAUUACUGGGCGUAAAGCGCGUGUAGGCGGCCCUGCAAGUCGGGUGUGAAAUCCCACGGCUCAACCGUGGAAGUGCACUCGAAACUGCAGGGCUAGAGUCCUGGAGAGGAAGGUGGAAUGCUUGGUGUAGAGGUGAAAUUCGUAGAUAUCAAGCGGAACACCGGUGGCGAAGGCGGCCUUCUGGACAGUGACGUGACGCUGAGACGCGAAAGCGUGGGGAGCAAAUAGG